UGGUAAAUACACAGGUGACAGAAGGAGCCUUUUUUAGGAGUCUGCAUUGACCGGAGUCAGUGGGCAAGGGUGCAGCAAAGCACUAGAAGUCUCCCGAGUGCUAUGGUUUGGUGUAAGAGACAAUUGAGUGCAUGCUUUUUUCCUGUAAUGACUUUGAAAAUUACAAAUGUGCAUUGAAAAAUGAUAUCUGGGUCAGACUUGGGCCACACCUGCAACAUCACCGUUGUUUGGAAGCCACUGACUUAAAGGAAAAGGGACUCCUGAUUGCUGUUUGUGAGCUGCUGGAACAUGGUUCCCCUGCUUUAACUGCCAGUUUUCUCACAUCCAACCAGGGAUGACCAUUCCCUGGGGUUAAUGAGAUCUGUCUGCCUGCAUCAAAGUCACAAUAUUGAUCUGCUUUCUGCUUUUUCGCAAGCUUAGCCCAAAAGAUUCCUUCUCAUCCUUUGCCCUACAGUUUUGAAGGUCCAUGCCCAAUCCCCAAACCUGGGGAUUCUUGUUAUUCUGCUUGUCCCCAGGUCUAAAUCAUGUCUUCCAGCCUAAUAUUUACCAAAGAGAACAAAGCUGGUGUGUUAUUACCAUCUGACUUUUGAACCUCUUUCUCAAUUCAUGGAUUCCUAAUUUAGUGAGAGAUAAAAGAGGCUUCCUCAAACCCCAAGACGGAUUGGAAGGAGAGAGAGAAAAAAGAGAAAAGCAGACCAGUAAGAAGGUGUGGACAGAAGCUGGAGAUGGGAAGUAAUAAAUAAAUAAAACACAAACCAUCGGGAAGAAAAGGAAGAAUUGAAGACAGAGAUUUUUGACUGAGUGGAAUGUGGGAGAGAUAAGGAGGAGCCUGAGAGCCAGGCUGUCCUAGGCUUCUAUCCCAAAAGUGUAAAGAGUAAGACCCUGGGCAAGUUACUUACCUUCCUCUUCUUCCUUGACCAACUCUGAAAUGAGAGCAAGUUGAAUAGAAUCCAGAUUAUAGCCUUGUCUUGAGAAACCAGUGAGUAAAUCUAUGGCACAUGUUCAGCACAGUCUCUGACAUAUUAAGUCCUCGAUAAACAGUUUUGACAAUUAUAGUUUUGCAUACAGAAGUUACAGCUGAUUUGGGUUCAACAUGUAUGGAGAUAAUUUGGACUUCUUAAAAUUAAAAGGCUAUGGCCUGACUUCAACUUGUCUCCUUAUUUUUUGCCUCUUGUCCCUAAAAUCAAAUUCCUGUUGAUAAAGAGAUUUGGUGACUUAAUCGGGGGAUGAACAGAUCUAAUAUAUUUCUUCAUAUCUUUCUACCUCCUGUCCUGUCUAUGGUUCAAAUUCUAUUUGUCCUUAGAACUUUAAUAAACUUCUUCUUAUUUUCAUUCUCA